AUUGAACGCUGGCGGCAUGCCUAACACAUGCACGUCGAACGAGUGGCGGACGGGUGAGUAAUGUCUGGGCACCUGCCUGAUGGCCGGGGUUAACUACUGUAACCCGUAGCUAAUAACGCAUACCAUCGGUUGUUCCCAGCUGGGAUUAGCUAGUAGGUGUGGUAACGCCUCACCUAGGCGACGAUCCCUAGCUGAUCUGAGCGGAUGACCGGCCACACUGUAACUGAGACACGGACCAGACUCCUACGGGAGGCAGCAGUAGGGAAUAUUGCGCAAUGGGCGAAAGUCUGAGACAGCCAAGCCGCGUGUGUGAAGAAGGCCUUCGGAUUGUAAAGUACUUUCAGCGGUGAGGCGUUACCCGCAGAAGAAGCACCGGCUAACUCCGUGCCAGCAGCCGCGGUAAUAC
rnacentral:rRNA from 1 species